UUUAUGACUUCUAAACAGCAAGUGAUAUUGGACUUUGACUGAACAUUUUUAAGUAUGUCUUGUCGGUUGUGUUCUCUGUUUUCGCACCUCCUGUGUUGAUGUACCUGAUGUGACUACUGUCUGUAAACUGCCCCUCAAGGACAUUAGGUAUGACUUGCUUUAAGGGACAUUUUCCACCAGUCAUCAGGGGGCCUAAACUGAGUUCACCUAAGACAGACAUGAAGAAUCAAACAAGGGUAGAAUAUCAUAAAUACCAGGAGAUCUGGAUUAAGGUCUAACUCCCAUCACUAAACUGAAGGUAAAAAAAGGAAAUCUUAUAUUAUUAUUAUACAUUGAGAACCUCUGAGAUAAAUUUGCAAAACUACAAAACAGGUCCUUAUUCCACCAGAGAGCAAAACGGGAGAGAAAAUGGAUGAAAGAGGAAAUAAAUUAAUUCUGUAGUAAAAGCAGCAGCUGAGGUGUAUUUGAAAUAUAUAAACUGAAACUAGUUCGAAAGCGAAGACUGGAUCCUCUGGUUAAUGCAAGUACAAUACAUAGAAGUAAGCCAGGUUUUCAGACAGGAUUAAUUUUUGCCAUUUUCAUUUUCAAAAUCUAAGGAAACAAACUGACAAUGACAUAGGAUUUCAUUAAGAUCUCAACAAGAAGUUACUUUCUGGUUGAAUAUCAUGUUCAGUUUUUUUUUUCUUUUCAUGUUUGCAAUACUUCAGAUUCAGCUUAGAAAAAAGAAAAGCAUGUAAAACACUGUGAGCGUAUAUACAUUAAUAUUACUUGUUAGGAAUAACCUUGUUUACUGUUACUUAUUGAUGAGCUUUUACACACACACCAUAAUGAUAAAGUAUAAAUCCUAACGUUUUCACUUUUGUCAGGAUGGGAUAAGACUCCUCACAGACGCACAUUAUAAGGACAAAUGACCUAGAGUUUGACAUAAAGUUUAGUAUAUUGGGUUUGAUUGUGGGACAGUUUGUAACGGGGUUGAUUAAAUUGCUGCAGCCACACUUAGAAUCAGAGUUGGACACCUGCUAUUACACACUCUAUCAGACACCACAAUGGUGACACAUUGUCUACUGGUAAACACUGAGGGAGUGUAUGUCCCUUGCAUGGGAGUGCUAGUAAUAGAAACCGUGUGUGGCCUUCUUUCGAGGCUGCUUCGUCACUUUGAUCACCAAGAGGGUUAAGGACGGGAGCCAUCAGCGCUGAUCUUUGGAAGUAUUCCUCUGCCUUAUUUAGAAUAAAACUGUUGAGGGUAUAGAAUAGUUUGAGAGUCACUACUUUAAGAGACAUGGUUGAAAACAGUGGUGACAUUUCUGGGGAAAAAGAAUUUGGUGGAGCUCCGAGGCGUCUAACCGCCGACGGUUCAGUAGCUCGGACAACUACAAAGACUAUUAGAUCAAUGGUCAUGUUUUUGAGCUCCUGGAUGUCUAUAAACAGCUUUCCUGACUUAAAAUAUUUUACUCAGCCCCACAUUAAAUGUGAGCUUUGUUAAUGACAGUUCUAGAGACCUGAUGAUAAUAUGCUACAGUGAAUGAUGAAAUAAACCAACAAUGCCUUUUUAAUAAUGAUUAACUUUCAAGCUUCUGUGAGGAAAUAAACAAUGUUUUUACACCAUGUAAACAAUACAACCCUAAUUUUAAAGAAUUUAUUGUCACAUACAAGCCAUAAACUGCUAUAAAUCCAGUGAGAAACAGCAGCUCCUUCAUUCAGUUAAAUGUUAUCAUAGCUGCAGUUUCCCCUCCCAAUAUGGCGGCCGUAUUGACGUGUCACUGCGGCGCUCUGUGCGUGACAUGGAGGAGUCCGGGAGAGAUUUCCGUCUCCACAGGCUAUUUACCGCUGCUGUGUAUGCACCUAGGGUUGGAUUAAACUUUAGGGGACAGAUUAUUAUAAAUUGAGGAUGAUAUUAGCCGAAUAAUCCCAGAAGGACCACCGAUCGGAUCAUCGUUGGAGGAUCAAACAGAAAGAAAACAAAGGUUCAGUUCAGAGAUGAAAACCUUAAUCUUAAAAUCCGACGAAGAACCAGCUGCAAUCAGGCUCUUUAACUGUGGUUUUGUGUGAUUACAGUUAUAAACCUCUUCACUAAUAAGGAGGAAAAUCACAAAUGGAGGGAAGUUGUCUGAAUGCUGAACAUUCAUUCAGACUGUCCUCGUACCUGCAGCCUCUACAUAAGAACUGGAGCAGACGGAAGCCAGCGAAGAUCCCAGGCUGCCUGGUAAAGAAGAGGUUCCCCUGAGUUUCAAUGAGCCGGAUACAGAAACUAUGGAGAUUAAGGAUGAAGCGAAGGAAGUCAGAAUCUCCUUUACUGAAGAAACUAUAAAAACUGAAGAUGAUGAAAAAUACCACUCCUCACGGCUUAAUCGAAUUAAAACUGAAGACGACAGAGAGACGAAUCCUCCAACCACCACCUCAGCUGAACAUGUGAAGACAGAGACUGAUGGAGAGGACUGUGAGGGGCCAGAGCCAACCAGAAGCUCUGAUACUUUACUGCUAAAUGAUAAUAACCAUGUGUCAGAAACUAAUGCUGAGGAUGAUCAUUGUCAGAAAUCUGCUGAUUUUAGAUCUGAAGCAGAUGACAGUGGCUAUAGUAAAACUGGUGUAUCUAGGUCAAGUGUGAAUCUUGAUGUAUGUUGUAGCACUACCAAAACCUCCUUUGGUUGCGUUAAGUGUGGUAAACAGUUUCACCACAAAAAAUCCCUUACAAGGCACUUGCAUGUCCAUGCUAGAGAAAAUCCAUUUCCUUGUCAAACAUGUGGGGAAGCAUUUAGUCAAAAUAUAGUCCUCAAGAGACAUUUAACAAUUCACAAAGAAGAAAAGGUGUUUCGCUGUGAGCAUUGUGGCAAAACAUUUCCCCAUAGAUGGUAUCUUAGGAAACAUGUCAAAAUUCACACUGGAAAAAAGGAAUUUAGCUGUGCUGAGUGUGGAAAAAUAUUUAACUUUAAAGCUCAUCUGAAGUCCCACAUGGUGGUCCACACAGAUGAGAAACCUUUUAGCUGUGAUGUUUGUGGUAAACAUUUUCGCAGAAAUUAAGAAGUUAAGUCUCAUAUGAGAGUGCACACUGAUGAGAAGCCGUGCAGCUGUAGCAUCUGUGGGCAAAGUUUUAACUGUAGGUUUCAUCUUAAAACACAUAUGGAAGUCCACUCUGGAGAGAAAGCUUUUGGCUGUGAUGUUUGUAGGAAACUAUUUGGUUAUAUGACACGUCUUAAGAGACACAUGCAAACACACACCAGAGAGAAACCAUUUAACUGUGAGGGUUGUGGAAAAAGCUUUAGUUCUAAACCGCUUCUGAAGAAACACAUGAUUAUCCAUUCAGGGGAGAGACCUUUUACCUGUGAGGUCUGUGGUAAAACAUUUCGUGCUAAACGACACCAUGAAUAUCAAAUGAGGAUACACACAGGAGACAAGCUUCUUGACUGUUUUCUUUGUGGAAAAAGAUUUAACCGUAGUGCAAAUCCAAAGGCUCACAUGUGUAUCCACAGUGGGAAAAGCCAUUUAUUUGUGAGGACUGUGGAAAAGGUUUUAGUGCACAAGAAAGUCUUGCACUCCACAUGCUAGUUCACAAAGUAGAGAAACCUUUUAGCUGUGAUCUUUGUGGUAAAUCAUUUCGUAGAAAAGCAGACCUUAAAAUACACAUGAGAAUACACACAGGGGAGAGACCUUUUGAGUGUGAAAUAUGUGGGAAAAGAUUUCGCCAACGCUCGUAUGUUAAAAUACAUGUGAAACUCCAUAAUGGAGGGGAGUCAUUUGUCUGCCAUAUUUGUAGUAAAGCCUUCCUUCAGAAAGGAUCUCUUUUAAAACACACAAGAGUUCACACAGGAGAGAAACCAUUCAGCUGUAAUGUCUGUAGCAAUGUUUUUAGUGAAAAACAUGCACUCACGAAUCAUUUUAAGAUAACACACAUCAAACCAAUCUGAUUCAGAAAAACAACUGUCCAGGCUUUAUUCACAUUCCUUGCAAACUGGCUGUAUACGUAUAACUUUAUGGGGAUUAUAGUUUUUUUCCCCCCAUUAAAAAGAGCUUCAUUACUAAA